rnacentral:rRNA from 1 species
AACGAACGCUGGCGGCAGGCUUAACACAUGCAAGUCGAACGCACCGCAAGGUGAGUGGCAGACGGGUGAGCAACACGUGGGGAUCUGCCCAAUGGUACGGAAUAGCUCCGGGAAACUGGAAUUAAUACCGUAUGAGCACGCAAGGGGAAAGAUUUAUCGCCAUUGGAUGAACCCGCGUCGGAUUAGCUAGUUGGUGUGGUAAAGGCGCACCAAGGCGACGAUCCGUAGCUGGUCCGAGAGGAUGAUCAGCCACACUGGGAGUGAGACGCGGCCCAGACUCCUACGGGAGGGAGCAGUGGGGGAUAUGGGACAAUGGGCGCAAGCCUGAUCCAGCCAUGCCGCUUGAGUGAUGAAGGCCUUAGGGUUGUAAAGAUCUUUCAGCGAGGAAGAUAAUGACGGUACUCGCAGAAGAAGCCCCGGCUAACUCCGUGCCAGCAGCCGCCGUAAAAC